AGUGAACGCUGGCGGUAGGCCUAACACAUGCGAGUCGAACGGAAGCAAGGAAAGGCCUGGCCCUUACGGGGGGGGGGUGGGGGAGGGGGGGGGAAAACAUCGAAAUCUACUUUUUGGGGGGGGUUAAGGAGGGGAAACUUAGGCAAUAACGGAAUCCGACCUCCGGGGGAAAGCAGGGGACCUUCGAACUUGCCGCGAUGGAUUGAGCCGAGGUCGGAUUGGCUAGUUGGCGGGGUAAAGGCCCACCAAGGCGACGAUCCGUAGCUGGUCUGAGAGGAUGAUCAGCCACACUGGAACUGAGACACGGUCCAGACUCCUACGGGAGGCAGCAGUGGGGAAUAUUGGACAAUGGGCGCAAGCCUGAUCCAGCCAUACCGCGUGGGUGAAGAAGGCCUUCGGGUUGUAAAGCCCUUUUGUUGGGAAAGAAAAGCAGCAGGUUAAUACCCCGCUGUUCUGACGGUACCCAAAGAAUAAGCACCGGCUAACUUCGUG
rnacentral:rRNA from 1 species